rnacentral:misc_RNA from 1 species
GCAUUUUCCACAAGAAACAAGCUUCAGCAAUGAAUGUGGUCUUCGUGUCCUCAUUUUCAAACGAGAAAGCUUUCGACGGGUCACUCUAGAUGCUUUCCAGCACAGCAAGCUUCGUGAUCUAGGUUCCAGUCGCAAAUUUUCUUGUUCAAGCCUUUCAGCUAUAGAAACCGCUUUACGUUUGGACCAUCCAGACUGGUGUGUACAUCCUUCUGCCUGCUGAAUUACAUGUGCAAGGGAAACCUUGCUUCUCACAAGGCUCUUACUCUGACUUUGCUUGCCAGGUCUCCUUCUUUCAGACUUNNNNNNCUAGAUUUCUUAAGUGAAACUGCUGAAUCUCCCUCUCUUGCACGCUGUAAACCUCUUUUACUAGAUUCUGCAUUGUUGUCAACAUGUCCAUUACCCUUGAUUUCCCUGGGAGAAGCUGGUAUUUCAACAAUUUCACUCCGCCCUACAUCAAGAGAUUCUCCUGCCCUAGGCAUUCUGCUUCCACCAGUAGUCUCUGGCUCUACAGCCAUCUGAGAUGAAGCCUUCCUAGGAGCUGGUAAUAUGAGAGGUGCAUGGAACCCUUCACUUGUGUCUCUAUUUGAUUCACAUCUGAUUUCAAUGGUAACUGGUGACCCAAGAACAGACUCAAAUGCUUGUAAAAUAUGUGCCCUAAACUUCUCUGCCUUCAAUUUGGUAAGAUGUGAACUGAAUAUCAACUGCACAGUUGGAGCUGCACCAAAACUGACAGAUAUGAGCUUUCCUUCUUGGUACAAGAACUCUUUUAUACUGUUAAACUGAAUCUUCCCAAGCACCUCCAACCAAAUUUCCUCAUAUCCUUUUCGGCUUUUAGCUGACAUCUGCCUGUCACUCACCCUAACUGUAUCAGAAGAUAGUGCAGAUGUCCACUGAGGAACCAUACGAGCCCCCCCAUUUCUUUUCCUAUCCACAUUAACACCAUUUGACACACCAUUGAUUUGGAAAUCACCAGAAGUUCUAGCAGGGAGAUUUUCCAAUCUAACAUUUGUUGACAAGCUUCUCUCGUUAUUGGGCAUCUCAGCUUGUUCACCACCUUUCCUGGCUACAUCCCUUCCAUUUGCAUUAUUUAGGGUCAUAGGGCUAUGAUUAAAACUAGUUUNNNNNNACUAGGCAGCAUGUACUGCUGAUCAGGAGCAAGUUGGAGCAAUGCAGCUGUAAGCCACGUUAAUUUGUCAUUUGACAUUCUAAGUUGUUUUUCAGCCUCUGACAAAGUUUUCAGGGCUUGACGUAGUUUUUCCAUAUCUUCUUUGGACAAUGGUUGUCGUCGAAAAAACUUCC